AUCGAUGAAGAACGCAGCGAAAUGCGAUAAGUAAUGUGAAUUGCAGAAUUCAGUGAAUCAUCGAAUCUUUGAACGCACAUUGCGCCCCCUGGUAUUCCGGCGGGCAUGCCUAUUCGAGCGUCAUUUCUAUCCUCAAGCUCCGCUUGGUAUUGGGAGGCAAGCCUCRUCCCCUCGGGGAGAGGCUCCCCCGAAAAUUAGCGGCGGAUCGGUYGGGGUCCCAGCGCAGUGACUAUUUUUUUCUCGCUGAUUGGAUCCUCGGGCGGCUCCUGCCGGGCUAAAAACCCAUUAUUWYUUUCAAGAUUGACCUCGGAUUAGGUAGGGAUACCCGCUGAACUUAAGCAUAUCAAUAAGCGGAGGAAAAGAAACCAACAGGGAUUGCCUUAGUAACGGCGAGUGAAGCGGCAACAGCUCAAAUUUGAAAUCUGACUCCUUUUGGCGUCCGAAUUGUAAUUUGUAGAGGGCAUCUCGGGGGCGAUACCGGUCUAAGUUCCUUGGAACAGGGCGUCAUAGAGGGUGAGAAUCCCGUACGUGACCGGCCGUCAAUCCCAUGUGAGGUCCCUUCGACGAGUCGAGUUGUUUGGGAAUGCAGCUCAAAAUGGGUGGUAAAUUUCAUCUAAAGCUAAAUAUUGGCCAGAGACCGAUAGCGCACAAGUAGAGUGAUCGAAAGAUGAAAAGCACUUUGGAAAGAGAGUUAAAAAGUAUGUGAAAUUGUUGAAAGGGAAGCGCUUGCAGCCAGACUUGGUCGCAGUCAAUCAACCUUCCCUCGGGGAGGUGCACUUUUCUGCGUUCCAGGCCAGCAUCGGUUUCGGCGGUCGGACAAAAGCCCUGGGAAUGUGGCUCCCCUCGGGGAGUGUUAUAGCCCGGGGUGCAAUGCGGCCUGCCUGGACCGAGGACCGCGCUUUUUGCUAGGAUGCUGGCGUAAUGGCUGUCAGCGACCCGUCUUGAAACACGG
rnacentral:rRNA from 1 species